UCUUGAGGUGACAAGUAGAUCAUAGUUAAAUAAAUGAUUAGAUAUGAAUUGGGAAAACAAGGUGUCAGUGUCUGGAGUAGUUUGUAGUCCCAAUCCUUCAACUCUAGCACUGUUUAGCUUUCCCCUGUCCAAUUUCAGGAAAAAAAUUCCGCGUGUAAGAAAUGCAUGCAUUUAGCAUUAGCACCAGAGUGAAGCAGCAGCAGGUACCGCCACUUGGCCGAGUUUCCAACGCAAGAAGAAAGCGUCCAACAAACAAGAAAUACUAUACUAGAAAAUAAUGGAGUGAGUCCCCCCUUUACCCACCACAAUUAGGAAGGUUCAUCUUCACCCAACGUGGUUGGCCAAAUGCAUCCACAACAUGAGAGUGAAAUCCAGACACUUGUCAAUAAUAUGUUGGAAACAACGCAUCUACUCUCUCUCCCUUCUAUUAUCAUAUCCUCUCUUUCUCAGGCUGUAAGCUAAGUAAAUGUGAUUUGUUAUAAAUAGCGGAGUCUCAAGUACCCUCCUCCACCAUCAAGAGAAUUGAGAGAGCAAUUGGUGUGGCUGUCGCGAGGAGAUCAUAUAUCUCACAUAAAUAAGAGUAUGGUUUUGGGUCGCAUGCUUGCGUGGAACCAUCAAAACUUUGCAUUUGAAAAGGGGUGAUGGUGCCACGCUGUGUGCGCCUAAAAUGCAUAUUCUUCUACUAUAUUUGAUGAAAUGUUGGAAAAUGUGCAAAGCUUAGCACUAAGGUAGGGUAGUAGCUGACUGAUAAGCUCCCAGUACAGGAUUAACAACCCUGGGCUUUAUGAUGUUUUGACAAGAAAAAAAAAAGAUUACAAAUUAGAGUAGAGAUAUCAGUUGGUUUGUUUGCAGGACAGUAAAGGUCUCUACUCUGUAGCUGAAGAUCAAGUGACCACUUCCUUAAGAAAAUGCUGGUUUGAAAACAAUUAGCCAUCCACCCCCAAGAUGGAUUGCGCUUUCGCUGAGAUUAACUUUGAUAUUAAUGAUGCAUGGUAAGAUUAAUUAAUGUAGUAUUGAAAUUUAAUAUUGUAAUUAUGAUAUUAAAAUGUGUGGUUGAAUUCAAAACUAAUUAUGAGGUUGGGGUUGAAAUGGAAAAAUGAUCUAUAAACUAAAAUUAUUAAUUAUUUGAUAUUUAACACUGUAGUUUUAUUAAUAAAAUAAUAAUGUGUAUCAUAA